rnacentral:rRNA from 1 species
UACGGGGGGAGCAAGCGUUGUUCGGAUUUACUGGGCGUAAAGGGCGCGUAGGCGGCGUGACAAGUCGCUUGUGAAAUCUCCGGGCUUAACCCGGAGCGGUCAAGUGAUACUGUCGUGCUAGAGUGCGGAAGGGGCUACUGGAAUUCUCGGUGUAGCGGUGAAAUGCGUAGAUAUCGAGAGGAACACCUGCGGCGAAGGCGGCUCACUGGACCGGUACUGACGCUGAUGCGCGAAAGCGUGGGGAGCAAACGGG